UAUUCUCUCUCUCUCUCUCUCUCUCUGUUUUUACUCUUAAAUAUUACAUUACUAAUAAGCAUUUUUAUGGAGAGCAAUGUGAUUUAAUAAGCUUCAUUAUUUUUGCAAUUUGGGUAUAAAAUUUAGUAAUACAAAAUAAGGAAUGGGGCUCUAAGUUUAAUGUGUGUGUGUGUGUGUGUGUGCUUGUGUGUGUGUGUGUGAUAUUCUUGGUUGUAAUGGCUAUCCUAGCCUUAUUUUCCUCAUUCAUAUUUUUCUCAAUUAUUUUCUGGAUUUUCUCAAUUAUUAUUUUCUUUUGGUGCUGUAGUAUCUUUGUAAGUUACAUCAAAACUAAUGAAGUAGGGAACAAAUAAAUAAGUUGAACAAACCAUUAGAUUCAAUUUAUGCUCCCAACAAAUAACCAUUUAUAACUCAAGCCUUCAAAAAAUUAUAACAAUUUCAUAAUGAACAAUGGAUAAUUUAUGGAGACUUUGUGGCAGCAAUGAAUACAAUUAUGGGUAAAUUGUCUCCAACAAAUAACUUCUGGAAUAUCCACUCUCCUUAUAAUCUCAGAAACAGAAUACCAAACCUAUCAGUAAGAGAUAAUAUUUUCUAGUCAUUUGAGGAUUCAAUUUGUUAGAUUAUGUCGUUAACUUUAUCAGGUUGUGUCUUAUAUUGCAUUCGCUAAAUGGAAGACUAGCUACUCAAACUUUACCUGAGGUUCCUGUAAGCCUUCUCAGAAUACAAAGAAGGAUGAGGGACCAGCUUUUGUUCUUCACAAUUCCAUGUUGUUAUAUGAUGCAGAAGUUACAAAGCUUUCAUCAACAAUUACUGACUACUUUCAUUGUCAUCCCCAUGUGGGAGUUCUGAAAGACCGUUUGAAAUUCGUUCGAGUAACAGAAGAGAGUGCACAGUGCAGCCUUCUGGAUUAAACAAAGAAUAAGAGAAAAAAUCUUCACUUCUAUCAAAGGUGCAAGCAAUGGAGGGAGCAUCAACACAAACAAAACAGGCGUCAGCCAGAAAGCCUAUAGGAAACCAUGGAGGAAGAUCAAAAUCAGAUUCUUAGAAGUGAGCUGUUCCAGGAGCAGCUUGCGCCCCGAGCAGAGAGGAAGAGUGGCCACCCCAAGCCCCUUCCUGGGAUCUACACUCAGCAGCUCAGCCUCAAGCCAACGUGGCUUUGAACUGUGACGCAAUUGUUGUUUGAGUGCUGAUAACUAGAGAGUAUUGACAUGACGAGGAGAGAGACCUUUGUUAUGCUGACGAACUCUUCAGGACCCAGGAGAGGACAUACAAAUGAACAGGGUGCUUCGGUCACGUACAUGCCAAGAUCACCACAGCACCCAUAGGAAAUGAUAAGAUUUUGGCACACUUGUGAUACACUGUUUGCGGAGUUCUGCUCUGUUGUGUCAGGAGAAAAGCAAGUGAGAUGGCAGGAGAGGCCUUGAAGCCACAGCCUUAAUAAUUAGACGAGCCCCAAUUAAUUAAGUACCUCCAAUAAAAGGCACUCUGCAUGUAUUGGCUUAUUUAACCCCUUUAACAACUACCUGGGAUGGGUGUUAUUUCUUUUCCUUUCCAUUAAGGAAAUCGAAGCUUAGACAUUUAGUGUUAUAUUCAGGUCCAUGGGAGUGGUAAAUGCCAGAGCCGUGUUUUGAAUCUAGGCCGGACCCCCAAAUCCCACAUUCUUUUCUCCGCAAACGGCAGGACAUCAGGGGCUUCCGUGUGCCUAAGUGUCUUCGAAUGUUAAAGGACUCUUAUGUGACAGAGAGAAUAGAAAAUUCUAAUACUGUAGGAGGUCAAGCUAGUAGCUAUGAGUGGAAUCGUGAAGGAAGACAGGCUUUACCUCAGAAUAAAGAAGAAACGAUAAUCUCGUGAAGGUAGAACUUCUCCCCCCAUAUGGUAUUUAGCAAGUGAUUGCUUCUUAGGGAAUUUUAGAGGAGACUCUUGUUUGGACGACCUCUGCUUUCUUCCAACUUCAAGAGUAUGAUGUUAUUGGGAUAUAAAAAGCAUGAGAAGAUCCUUUUACAAAUAUCGUUUCUCCUACAUGAACUUUCUAAGGAGGGAUUUGUAUUUUAGAUUAACUACAGGUGGAGGAAGAGCUCAUUUGCAUUCUUGAUCCAAGAGAGAAGGAUCAAUAAUUCUCCAAAGAGUUUACAAGUGCCUUUGUUAGAAGACUGCCCUACUAUUCUGCACCUUCCAGGGCCUGGGCCUGGAGUUUUCCUUCUGAAAAAUCAAAAUACAGUCUGCAACUGCCACCACCGCAGGACUGAGAUGGACCAAAGAGUAUCCAUUACUUUCCAUAAGUCUUCCCAAAGAAGUGAAUGGACACCAAUUAGCAAGAAAUCUUGAAAUCCAUAGACUGUCCUACUUUGGGGAAUGGUUUAAGUGUUUAUUUCAUGUGAUUUUGUUGGUAUGUGUAAGAGAAAGCACUGUAUUUAUUUUCAGAUUUUCUCUUUUUUUUAAAGAGGGCAUAAUACCUUUUUCAUUUCCCCACCACCUGUUUAAUAAACACACUUCCAGUUUUUACUUUAGAAUAGCAACUAGUCUGAUAAAUCAAGGGUUCUCUAAGAAGAAUAUUUGUAUCCUAGGGGCACCUGGGUGGCUCAGUUGGUUAAGCGUCCACCUUCAGCUCAGGUCAUGAUCUCACGGCUUGUGAGUUCGAGCCCCCGCG